GACACGUCGGAAGAGAAGCCGCUCCAAUGAGACCUUAGUUUAAUAUUGUUUCUUUUUCACAGCAGCAAAACAGCCCCCGGGAGCUCCUAACCAGGAAGCCGGGCACAACAUAACAGCACGUAAUGCCGUUUGUCUCGUUGCCUCGCCAGAUGGCAGCACUUGAACGGCUGAGUAGCAUCAACAGCUAACAAGAGGGAGCAACCUGCGGAAAAUACUUCUCAACCGCUAUUUCAAAGGAGAUUACGGAGGGAGCCUCAACGGUCAUCUGGCUGGCAGCUACGGCAAACCCCUGCAGGGUGGAGGGACCUUCUCGGGACAAGAUGUGGACAAAUCCGGGGCGUCCAUGCAUGACAUUCAGUGCCUCUUGGAUAAAGAAGGGGCUUCGGAACUGGUCACCGAUGUCAUCGUUAGUACCAAAAAUGACCGGAUAUUCUCGGAAGCCAUCUUGCUUGGCAUCGCGUUGCUCGAAGGAGGAAACACCCAAAUCCAGGUGCAUUUUGGUACCUUAAUAUCUCCUAGCCAAUUUUAACCCCUGGAAUUUUCUAAGGCAAGGAAGAAAACAGGACCAGGGUGGAGAAGGAUUAGGAAAAUAGCUAAAAAUAUAACAGGUAUCAUAAUUAUGUACGUACGUACGUAUGUAUGUAUGUUCCAACAU